rnacentral:sRNA from 1 species
CCCGACGUUUACGUCGGGCUGAAAUCCGCCGUUCUUUCAGAACU